rnacentral:rRNA from 1 species
GGGCAAGGGCGGCGUGCUUACCAUGCAGUCGAGCGGAAGGCCCUUCGGGGUACUCGAGCGGCGAACGGGUGAGUAACACGUGAGUAACCUGCCCCUGACUCUGGGAUAAGCCUGGGAAACCGGGUCUAAUACCGGAUAUGACACUCCUCCGCAUGGUGUGGGUGUGGAAAGUUUUUUCGGUUGGGGAUGGACUCGCGGCCUAUCAGCUUGUUGGUGGGGUGAUGGCCUACCAAGGCGACGACGGGUAGCCGGCCUGAGAGGGCGACCGGCCACACUGGGACUGAGACACGGCCCAGACUCCUACGGGAGGCAGCAGUGGGGAAUAUUGCGCAAUGGGCGAAAGCCUGACGCAGCGACGCCGCGUGGGGGAUGACGGCCUUCGGGUUGUAAACCUCUUUCAGCAGGGACGAAGUUGACGUGUACCUGUAGAAGAAGCGCCGGCUAACUACGUGCCAGCAGCCGCGGUAAUACGUAGGGCGCGAGCGUUGUCCGGAAUUAUUGGGCGUAAAGAGCUCGUAGGUGGCUUGUUGCGUCUGCCGUGAAAGCCCGUGGCUUAACUACGGGUCUGCGGUGGAUACGGGCAGGCUAGAGGCUGGUAGGGGCAAGCGGAAUUCCUGGUGUAGCGGUGAAAUGCGCAGAUAUCAGGAGGAACACCGGUGGCGAAGGCGGCUUGCUGGGCCAGUUCUGACGCUGAGGAGCGAAAGCGUGGGGAGCGAACAGGAUUAGAUACCCUGGUAGUCCACGCUGUAAACGUUGGGCGCUAGGUGUGGGGGUCUUCCACGAUCUCUGUGCCGUAGCUAACGCAUUAAGCGCCCCGCCUGGGGAGUACGGCCGCAAGGCUAAAACUCAAAGGAAUUGACGGGGGCCCGCACAAGCGGCGGAGCAUGUUGCUUAAUUCGACGCAACGCGAAAAACCUUACCAAGGUUUGACAUACACCGGAAACACUCAAAGAUGGGUGCCUCCUUUGGACUGGUGUACAGGUGGGGCAUGGCUUUCCUCCACCUCCUGUCCGUGAAAUGUUGGGUUAAUUCCCCCAACGAAGCCAACCCUUGUUCCAUGUUGCCAGCACGCCCUUUGGGGGUGGUGGGGACUCUUGGGGAAAUUGCCGGGGUCAACUCCGAGAGAAGGGUGGGAUAGAAUGUAAUCUUACAGGCCUCUUAUGAUUUAGGGUGUGUAAAAUUGUCACAUAGGGCCGGUCCACAGGGUCCUAUUCUCUUGUAGAGUG